rnacentral:rRNA from 1 species
CGGACGGGUGAGUAAUGUAUGGGGAUCUGCCUGAUGGCGGGGGAUAACUACUGGAAACGGUAGCUAAUACCGCAUAAUGUCUACGGACCAAAGCGGGGGACCUCCGGGCCUCGCGCCAUCAGAUGAACCCAUAUGGGAUUAGCUAGUAGGUAAGGUAACGGCUUACCUAGGCGACGAUCCCUAGCUGGUCUGAGAGGAUGAUCAGCCACACUGGGACUGAGGCACGGCCCAG